rnacentral:tRNA from 1 species
UGGGGUGUAGCUCAGUGGUAGAGCACCUGCCUAGCAUGUAUGAAGCCCUAGGUUCCAUCCCUGAACCACAG